CACCAGACUCCUACGGGAGGCAGCAGUGGGGAAUAUUGCACAAUGGGGGAAACCCUGAUGCAGCGACGCCGCGUGAGCGAUGAAGUAUUUCGGUAUGUAAAGCUCUAUCAGCAGGGAAGAAAAUGACGGUACCUGACUAAGAAGCCCCGGCUAACUACGUGCCAGCAGCCGCGGUAAUACGUAGGGGGCAAGCGUUAUCCGGAUUUACUGGGUGUAAAGGGAGCGUAGACGGCUGUGCAAGCCAGAUGCGAAAGCCCGGGGCUCAACCCCGGGACUGCAUUUGGAACUGUGUGGCUGGAGUGUCGGAGAGGCAGGCGGAAUUCCUAGUGUAGCGGUGAAAUGCGUAGAUAUUAGGAGGAACACCAGUGGCGAAGGCGGCCUGCUGGACGAUGACUGACGUUGAGGCUCGAAAGCGUGGGGAGCAAACAGGAUUAGAUACCCGCGUA
rnacentral:rRNA from 1 species